GGACCCGCACAAGUAGUGGAGCAUGUGGUUUAAUUCGAAGAUACGCGCAGAACCUUACCAACACUUGACAUGUUCGUCGCGACUUUAAGAGAUUAAAGUUUUCGGUUCGGCCGGACGAAACACAGGUGCUGCAUGGCUGUCGUCAGCUCGUGUCGUGAGAUGUUGGGUUAAGUCCCGCAACGAGCGCAACCCUCACUUUUAGUUGCCAUCAUUUAGUUGGGCACUCUGAAAGAACUGCCAGUGAUAAGCUGGAGGAAGGUGGGGAUGACGUCAAGUCCUCAUGGCCCUUACGUGUUGGGCUACACACGUGCUACAAUGGUAUUUACAAUGAGAAGCAAAGAUGCAAGUCCUAGCCAAUCUCUAAAAUGUACCUCAGUUCGGAUUGUACUCUGUAACUCGAGUGCAUG
rnacentral:rRNA from 1 species